rnacentral:rRNA from 1 species
CUGCCUUUGAGUGGGGGAAUAACUCUCCGAAAGGAGAGCUAAUACCGCAUGAGACCACAGAAACUUCGGUUUCAGAGGUCAAAGGGGGGCGCAAGUCUCUCGCUCGAAGAUGAGUCCGCGCUCGAUUAGCUAGUUGGUAGGGUAAUGGCCUACCAAGGCUUUGAUCGAUAGCUGGUCUGAGAGGACGACCAGCCACACUGGAACUGAGACACGGUCCAG